GCACCUAGUUUGCUCCGAGCACCGUGCCGGGAGCUGGGUGUGCACUGGUGUACAAAACACGGGGUCCCUGCCCUUUGGGAGCUUAGCAUCUCCCAGGAGAGACGGGACAUCCGAAAACUGACCUCGCACAUGUCCAGUUAGAGCUGGGAGGUGCUCUGAGAAGGAAAGGAACAGGCAAUGGAAAAAAUAUCCUCGGGUGAAGACUGAAAAAGAGUAACUUUCUUUCAGUUCCUUAAAGCCAAUCCCCGAAGCUGCCAUCGCUUAAGCAGGACCUGCCUCAACCUCAUUCAGGAAGGCCUGCCUAAUGGACAGAAAGGAAAAGAUAUGGUGACACGAAGUAAUUCCUGGCAAAGGCCAGGAAGGAACUGAGAGGACGGGCACCUUUCUCUUCAAGGCUUCAUCUGUCCUUUAGGGCUCUCCAAAGACCAGGCUGAAGGCAGACCUCACCAACUCCUGACCUUGAAAGUGGUGGACCUCAAAGUGUUGGAAGAUUCCAGAGAGAGCAGGGUCUGCGUGUAACUGCUCUGAAGAAGCAGAUCUGUUCAUCUAACCCCCUUUAGAAGUUUCCUAUCUGGAUCAUCUGCCAGUGGGAGUCAGGCCCAGAGGCUGGAUGUCCCGGAAAUCAUUUCCAACU